GUUUUGUAAUAAAUCAUACCCCAUAGUUCAAACUGAUAUAAGUUGCAAACAUAUCUGGAAUGGGUCUUGCAAGUUACAAGCAAAUGAAAACCAUGUAAAUUCAGGUAUGAAAAAACCCGCCUUUGUGUCCGUGCUCCUGGCAAAGUGCCAAAUCGUUUAAAUUUUCAUUUGUAUUGACCAUUACAUAGGCAAAUGGAAGGGUUCCACCUGACAUUACUCUAAAAACUCAACUACCCCAUUUAAUAUGCUUUUGGGUAGUUCUUAAAAGGCAUUAAAAGUUGGAUUUUUCCUUGGUUUUAUAAUGAAUUUACAUAAUUAUGCAAAUG
rnacentral:lncRNA from 1 species